UCUGUCCAGUUCUGGAAUGCUGCCACUUCUCUUCCAGUUACUCUUUUGAUAUAGCUGCUUAUAUACUUGUGAAGCUCUCGUCUAGUAGUUUUAUACAAACUGUAUAAAGGAAUCCAUAUGCUACUAUAAUUUUAAUUUAUAAUAUUGUGAACCUUUUUAAGGUUAACUUGUUUCAAAGCAUAUGUGUCAUCUUACGAGUGAUACUAGGCUGGGUAUGAGACAUUUUCCUGAAAAGCUGCUUCCUGACCACAUGGAUUAAUUUAAAGGAUAGCACUAGAAAAUCUAACAAACAGUUGUCUACUCUUAGGUUCAUGGUCGGUGUUAAGAGCUUGUUGACAUCAGUAUUAUAAUAACAACUGCUAAAUUAAUCUGAUAGUGAUGAACAUAUCUAGAUCUAUCAUCCUUUUAGAUGUUGCUUGGCUUGGGGGGAAGGUUGUUUAUCUAUUACCUCUCCUAGACGCCGUUGUAUGCAUGCCAACUAAGAGCACUCAUGUCCUGCAUUAACCCAUCAACUGCAUGCACCUAGAUUUUUCUUGUUCCAUCGAGAGUUAUUCAUAGAUAUUUCCUGCUCUAACGAGAGUCUCCCUACAAGCCCAUCAACAUCAUUUCAACCAAGAGAGUCUGCCCAUAGAUUGUUAGCCAUUGGCUUUGAUACCACUUGUUGGAAAAUUUAGAGAGCCUGUGAACGUGCAACAACACUGGCCCAAUUCGUCAUAGAGAAAACACCAAGGUCCAACAUAUAUUGUUUUUUUUUUAGUAGUUAAGCUAUAAAAUAAAACAGUAAAAUAUAUAAGAUUAUAAGUGGAAUACCCCAGGCCCUACUAAAAAGCUAACAAGAAACAAAAAAGGACGCGAACACUAAAUUGGAAAGAAACUAUAAAGGAAAACAAACAAAGCCCCUAACUAGGAGAGCAAACUACAAAACCUAGAGACAAAAUAUCUGCAACAUCAGCAGCAGCAAGAUAAGGACAGCAGCAGCAGGAGCUGGAGAAAUCAAAGAGCAACAGCAGCAGCAGCAGCAUCCAACAACCUGCUCGAAACGUUAAGAAACAACAUCAACCUGCUCUAAAGCUCAAGAGCAAUCGCAGAAGUAGCCAACAAGCUGCCCUCAGCAACAAAGACGAACAAAAACAAAUUAAAAACAGCUAUCCUCCCUCAUCUUGUUCAAAAACCACACAUAGAAGAACUAUGGGGCCUUGCCUAAACAAAGAGAAACAACAUGCACAGCCCACAUGGGUAAGCAAGGUAAGACGAAAAAAGGAUAUGACCAGCAGCAUUUACAUACAAAGAGUAGCAAAACAUGAUCAUUAAAUAAACUAAAAGAAGAGGACUCUAUAAAACAGCUCUUCAGAAUCCAAUCCUGCUAAGUAUGACCAGCAGUAUUCAAAGGGGUCUAGGCAGGCACCAACAUCCAUCUUCUUUAGCAAAAUUAGAGAUACACAAAAUCCUGUACACAUCCAGCUGGCCCAAACUUCCACAGAGCUAGAGUAACCUGCAUGCACAAUGGUGGAACAAGCUCAAACCUCUAAGGGAACAGAAGUAUGGUAUAGAACACACACAACACAAUACAUAUCUGGCUCACCAUACUCAACCCACACACUGGAAUAUGCACUCAAGAAAAUAAUUUAGGGCUAAAUUCACUCAUCCCUCAACAAAGGAACUCCCUCACUCAAAUGUACCCACUAGACAAAUCUGCAAAGCAAACAAUUAGAGAUAAUGAUUUUGUACUCACAACACUCAACCCACAUAUGAGGAGCUCACCCACUCAACCCUCAAGAAGAUAAGCACCAAUGGACCUAACAUAUAUAAGCUUACAUCACUCAACCCUCAACAUCCCUAACAAAGUACCAGCUGGACAACCUGCACAGUAAAUCAUUAGGGGAAAUAAGGGCCACAGCUCCCACCAAAGGACACCCACUGCCCAAGGAGAUCUGCAAGAGAAUGCUGAACUAAAACAAACCAAAUCAUCUUUAGGAACACUGUACAAACAAUGCAUAAACAGGAAUAGACAUCAUUGUGCUAUAGGCAACUUCUACACUGUGGAGGGGAGCUUCCACUUGCUAAUAAACCACUCAUUAGCUCUUUCCUCUCUAAAGUUACACACAGAGAGGAUCCUAAGCCUAAUAAGAUUCUCAAUUCUUUUCUGAACAACAUUUUCAGGAGAGAUUACAGAUUGAAAGAUUCUGAAGUUGCUCUCCUGCCAGAUACAGUAGACAGAACGAGUAAAAACCAUCUUUUUGAUAGUGGCAGCCAUGGAUUUACCAGAAAUAUGCCUGGUCAGCCAAUCCACAAAGCUAAGCCAGGGCAGGGAAGACCAACUAACAUUGCAGUUAGCUUGCAUAGAUCCCCAGAUGCUGCAGGAAAAGGGUCACCUAAAGAACAGGUGAUCAUGAUCUUCAUCCUGGGAGUGACACAAGGCACAUUGGACAGAACUCCUAAUCCCAUACAAAACCAACCUAUUUAAAGUACUAAGUCUGCCAUGAAUAGCCAUCCAUACAGCAGUACUCACCCUAGGAACAUGAAACUUGAACCAAAUCAGCUUAUUCCAAGACACAUUGGGCAUAUGAAGUCUCAACAAGUCCCAAGCAGAGUGAAUGGAGAAUGCCCCAUCAGGUGAGGGGAGCUGACUGGGCUCAUCAUCCCUAACAGAGGGGGUCAUCUCACUAGGAAUGGUGUUCUUAACUUCUAUUAACUCCCAAGAUUGGGAAACAGGUCAAUUCCAGCAGUUGCCUCUAAUGAUGCUAUCAAUUUUCAAUUGGGCUUGAAGGUCAAAGUCAUACACAAUCCUAUCACCACAUUUGAAGUGCAGAGGGCCAAGAAGGUGCCACUUAUCAUACCACAAAAAGGUAUUCCUCCCAUUCCCAACUUUCAUUUUGAUAUUAUGAAUCAAGCUAGACCUAAGACGCUAGACCUAAGACCUAGGAUUUUCCUCAAAUCCAAGAAGGGUCAGUAAGCACGUUAACACUUUAGAAACUCCUUCCUUUAAGAAUGUAGGUCUUAAUUCACUGACUACUCACCCCUAGAAAC